CCUCGCGGAACCCUGAGCGUCCUCCUGUUGACUAAAUUUCCUCGAUGACGUAAGAGUCCACGUACAUCGUCCAUGUAGGUGAUGCUUCUGAAUGAAUGAGUGUCCCCUCCCAUCUCCAUUACUAGUACUACGGGAUGUCUAUAAGAGCAGAUCACCGGGACAACCCGCUAAAUUUCAUGAGAUGCCGAGGUGCAAGAGAGAGACGCGAGAUUGACAAUAAAUCAAAAGCAAAUCGGGAGCCAAGAAAUUACGCACCAGGGCUUCCGACGACACUAGAUUAUGGUAUAUGAACAUAUUUGCCGGCAUCCCUUUAGAUUUUCUAUUUUUUAUUUUUAUUUUUUAAUUAGGUGGAAAUGGCAGAACUGUACUUUUUACAGUUUGAUUAAGUCCGCAAACUAAAGAAAACCCUCAGCUGGACCAGAAGCUCAAAAGGUUUUCCGUGUAGCUCCGUCCCACUGGGCCGAGCGAGAAAGGACUAAACUUAAUUAUGAAAAUGCAGAUCGGAGAACGAGAGGAAAACGCUGACAAUCGACGACCGGACGAGGUCUGCGGAGGAAGAAGGUGACUUUGUGACAGCCCUGUGCUGGGGUGGCUCUUGGCCGGAUGAUCAGGGACAGGCUGACCUCCCACGCAGAAUUAGUCAUCUCUUUACACCACUUAUUUUUUUUUUCCCCUCUUUCCACUGAAGACUCUUAUUCAACCUUCUAGCAACCUUCCUUCACAUCGCUGUUUGUCCGCCCAUGCUUCUUCUCUCCCACACAGACACAGAGUCAGCAGCCUCUAGACAUAAUCACUUAUUGUUCAAUUUCCACAGGGACGCUGAUCAAGAGGUUAUUAAAUACAUAGAUGCUAGUUAUCGCUUUCAGUUGACGGCUGUUUAAUUAAGCUUAAUAAAACACAGUAAAUACUACGGGCUGUUUUCAUAAAGCUGGUUUCAUCAAAUUCUGUUGUUAACGAACCUGUUUAAAGAGUAGAUUUAUUUUCGGCCUUUUAUUGUAGACCUGACACUUGGUGUUAUGAGUUGUGCCCAGUUUACCCACGAAAAGGCAACACAGGAGUUUGCAGCAACUCCCCCCUAUAGUUCCUCCCUCCAAAACUCCCUCAUCCGACAUGCAUCGUUAUUGAAACAGCUUAUGAAAUCUAGAAGAGUUUAUCACCCACCUACAGAGUGUCUCGACAGAGUUAAAGCAAAUCAAUCGUCUUCUUGUCGUCAUUUUUGCUGCGUUCAAAUGUAAUCCAAUAAGUGGAAAGAAAAAGAAAACAAGAGAGAGAGAGAGAGAAGCAGAGAGUUAAACUGAUUUGAUGUCCUCCACUUCCACACCUCCCCCCGCACAGCCCAGGAAGUCACAGGCCGCCUCAAAGCCACACUGAUGAAGCAAACUUAAAAAAAAAUAAAACCUUCUUUUUGAAAAUAAAAAUAAAAAAAUAAAUAAAAAACGAUGAUAAGAAACACACGAGAAGCAAAUAAGCCUCCGUGAUAAAAGAACAGGCUAAUGCAUUUACUUAGCGAAGAGGGUAAAGGCGCACAGGAAGGUGCUGAACACAUGGGGUCAGUGAAAAUGAAAGAGUGGAUGGGACAGCGAGCGGCUGCUGUGACUCAGCCUUUCCCUGAUCAGAGGAAUAACAAGUAAAUACAUCAAAGGUGACUGACAUGUUUUUUUCCUGCAGGUACCGGGCGAAGCCACAGAAAAAGAAACCCAGGCAGACGGUUCACGGGAACUGAACAUGUGUUAUUUCCAUCAGCCCCUCUGGAUGAUGAGUGGUUGUUGAGUGUGCAUUAACUGAUGACUUUUGAGUCAUAUCACUGCUCUCUGCUGUAGGCAACACAAACAAGUGGUGGGAACCAGCCAACCACGCAGUCUGCACGUACCAGUAUCACUGUGAGUGAUACGCGACCUGAGCACCUGUUGCGUUACCGUAAGCCCUAAAUAACCGGAAUAUGUGGCCUGUGCAGAGUCCGAAUGCCCAUAAAAUUUUUAUUUUUUUUAAAUGCCACAAAUCCUCUGUGGCGCAGGGGAGAAGAGACGGGAUGGCGAGCUCUCCGGAGGAGUCAAAUUUCAAUCCUGCCUGGAAGUAAUUGCACACACCCGCAACAAAAAGUACACUGGGUUCUUGCACGCUGCCAAGCACACUCACUCACUCACGUGCUGCCAUGCCGAGCACAGCCGCUCUACAGUGAGGAGCGUGUGACUUGAAUGCCUCACAAGGCUGCGGAAAAGCUACGCAGACGGCGCCACUUAGUGGUCGCGCCGCUGCCGGCAUGGAGGGGAACGAAUUGGAGGGAGCAGGACGGACGGACGGACUGCAGCGACUCACGCCACCAGACAGCUGAGUGGUGAAACGGGGCUUCACUCGUUUUAAGGUCCAUCUCCCCCUAUUUAAAAAUUAAACCCUGACAUUUAUCUAUUAAGACAUUAAUAACUUACAAGAUCCAGGCAAUAAGAAUACAAUAAAGAACAAAGCAAAUAAAAGCCACAGUAACGGAAUACGUUUGAUGACAGCUUCUUGAAGACAAAAUAAAAAUACUUUUCUUUUAAAACCCUGAAUUCAAACUUCUUUUUUUUUUUGCAUGGCAUGUUUGAUUCCCGCGUAACUACGUUAUUUUCAAAGUAAAGGUGAUGUUUCUCAAAUGGCCACUGAGUUCAUUUUGUGGAAGAGAGCACAAGCUGAUUAUUUUUAAUAUAUACUGUAUCUGUGCAAGAGGAGCUGUUGCCAUGGCAACAAUCAAGCGAACGCAAUGCAAUAAUAAUGUAUGGUUCAGCUCGUAUUCACACGCAAAACUGGGUGUAUUUGACCUAAUAUUGACACGACUUCGUCAUAUUUAAAUGUGUAUUUGUUCAAUCUGUCGCAUCCUCGGUGCUGAGCGUGCAAAUACGUUUCACAUAAAGGACGUGUCUGGCUGGUUGGUUUUCUAAUAUGCUUCCAUCCAGACUCUUUUGCUGAUGUUCAAACCCGCGGUUAAUUUGUAAUUUAAGUAAGACAAGGCUUUAGAAAGGGAAGAAAGGCCACACCAGAAAUUAAAUAAAACCGCAACCGGGGGAAAAGUCCGCCGGCCGAUCGCUAAUUCUUGACCGCUGCGCAUCAGAAACCGACUUGAAAAUAACAGCCACUAGUGAGACACGUCGUGAGAACGAUGGAUAUCUGGCGGGAUGGCUGCAUCACGCUGGCCUGUGUUGCCAAGGAGAUGCAAUGGUGGAAAGUGGAGAGAUGGUCUGACUAGAGGAGCCUGGGUGUAUAACAAAACUGACUAAAGAUCAUACCCACCUGAGACAAUCUGCAGCCACCUGGGGAAGCCUUGCAGCUUUUGUUUGUUUAUUUAUUUAUUUUUUUAAGGAUCGUCUGAGGUCACAGAGAGACGCCGUCAGUUUUACUGUAGCAGGCGAACGGCAAUAGCGUGUUUGUUUAUUUGUUUAUUUAUUUAUUGACUGACUGCUACAUCAAUAAAUAAUGAGGAUGGAGAGAAGUCGUGACUAGCACCGCCCGCAUCUCGGAGUAAAAAAAAAAAUUUAAUAAAUAAAAUUGCUUCAGCAUACCACCGCGUUUAAAAAAUAAUAAUAAUAAAAAAAUAAAACACACAAGAAGAAGAGGGUUUCUGAUUUACUGCUUCAUAAUCUGACAGAGAGAGAAAAAAAACGAGGCUGGGGCAUGACGCACCGAGUUUUCACUAUUCACAUAUUUAGUAGAAAAUGUGGAGGAAGUCUCAUGCUGUACAUGGAAAAAAAAAAAGAAA